GUUCUCACUUCUGCGGCACAUACACUAAAAUUGGAGCAAUACAAAGAAGAUGAGCAUGGUCCCUGUGCAAGGGUGACACACAAAUUAGUGAAGCGUUCCAUUGUUUG